rnacentral:rRNA from 1 species
AGAAUCAACGCUGGCGGCGUGCCUAACACAUGCAAGUCGAACGAGAAAGGGUAGCAAUACCUGAGUAAAGUGGCGCACGGGGUGAGUAACACGUGACUAACCUACCCUGGAGUGGGGGGAUAACUGAGGGAAACCUUAGCUAAUACCGCAUAACACCUACGGGUCAAAGGAGCAAUUCGCUUAAGGAGGGGGUCGCGGCCGAUUAGUUAGUUGGCGGGGUAAUGGCCCACCAAGACUGUGAUCGGUAUCC